GACGAACGCUGGCGGCGUGCUUAACACAUGCAAGUCGAGCGGAGCGGCGAACGGGUGAGUAACGAGUGAGUAACUGCCCCCCUCUCUGGGAUAACAGUUGGAAACGGCUGCUAAUACCGGAUAGUGGGGGAUGACUCGCGUCCUAUCAUCUUGUUGGUGGGGUAGUGGCCUCCCAAGGCGACGACGGGUAGCCGGCCUGCGCGGUGGAUCGGCCAAAUUGGGCUGAGGUACGGCCCAAACUCCUACGGUGGGCAGCAGUGGGGAAUAUGGCACAGUGGGGGAAACCCUGAUGCAGCAACGCCGCGGGCGGAAUGACGGCCUUCGGGGUGUAAACCGCUUUCAGCCAUGACGCGGUAGUGGCAGAAGAAGCACCGGCUAACUACGUGCCAGCAGCCGCGGUAAUUC
rnacentral:rRNA from 1 species